GCCUGGCUAGCUCAAUCGGUAGAGCGUGAGACUCUUAUUACGUAAGCCAUCUCAAGGUUGCGGGUUCGACCCCCGCGUUAGGCU
rfam:Tulasnella calospora MTT 4182 unplaced genomic scaffold scaffold_310, whole genome shotgun sequence.